GCCUUGUUUAUUCAUGUGCUAAGUUUCUUACGUAAUUAUUUCUAAUUCAGUCUCAAACUCUCCUCCUGUUGUGUCUCUCCACUUAAUUAUUUACUUCUCUGUGCUGGGGAAUAGCCUACCCAAUUGUGGCAGACAUCAUGAUAAAGGCAAAGGGGAAAGCUCAGAGCAGUUCCAGAAAAGCAAGGACAAUAAAGCUCUUCUCUGCUCACCUCUCC